rnacentral:rRNA from 1 species
GAGAUGGAUCCGCGUCCGAUUAGCUAGUUGGAGGGGUAACAGCCCACCAAGGCGACGAUCGGUAGCCGACCUGAGAGGGUGGACGGCCACAUUGGGACUGAGACACGGCCCAAACUCCUACGGGAGGCAGCAGUGGGGAAUAUUGCACAAUGGGGGAAACCCUGAUGCAGCAACGCCGCGUGAGUGAGGAAGUAUUUCGGUAUGUAAAGCUCUAUCAGCAGGGAAUAGAAAAGAAGGUACCUGAAAAAGAAGCCCCGGCUAACUACGUGCCAGCAGCCGCGGUAAUACGUAGGGGGCAAGCGUUAUCCGGAUUUACUGGGUGUAAAGGGAGCGUAGACGGAAAGGCAAGUCAGAAGUGAAAACCCAAGGCUCAACCAUGGGACUGCUUUUGAAACUGUCAAACUAGAGUACGGGAGAGGUAAGAGGAAUUCCUAGUGUAGCGGUGAAAUGCGUAGAUAUUAGGAGGAACACCAGUGGCGAAGGCGUCUUACUGGACCGAAACUGACGUUGAGGCUCGAAAGCGUGGGGAGCAAACAGGAUUAGAUACCCUGGUAGUCCACGCGGUAAACGAUGAAUACUAGGUGU